UUUAAGUGCAGUUGUGGAUUUGUGUGUCCGUCUUAUUUGAAUUUUUUUAUGAGUAGUGUUUUUAUUAUUAUUAGAUGACAAAACAUGAAUAGUACUUUAUGAGUGAAUUAUUUUUAAAUUUUUCAAAUAAGACAGAUGGUCAAACAUUGUACACGGAAAUCCACAACUGCACUUAAA
rfam:Oryza barthii chromosome 11, whole genome shotgun sequence.